CCCUUAGAUGUUCUGGGCCGCACACGCGCUACACUGAAGGAGGCAGCGUGUACUCCUGGAUCGAAAGAUUUGGGUAACCCGCGAAUCUCCUUCGUGCUAGGGAUUGAGGUUUGCAAUUAUCCUUCAUGAACGAGGAAUUCCCAGUAAGUGCAAGUCAUAAGCUUGCGCUGACUACGUCCCUGCCCUUUGUACACACCGCCCGUCGCUACUACCGAUUGAAUGAUUUAGUGAGGACUUCGGACUGGGACCGAUGCGGCUUUCGGGCUGCGUCGGUAUUGUGGAAAGAUGUCCAAACUGUAUCAUUUAGAGGAAGUAAAAGUCGUANCA
rnacentral:rRNA from 1 species